rnacentral:rRNA from 1 species
GAUGAACGCUGGCGGCGUGCCUAAUACAUGCAAGUCGAGCGAACAGACGAGGAGCUUGCUCCUCUGACGUUAGCGGCGGACGGGUGAGUAACACGUGGAUAACCUACCUAUAAGACUGGGAUAACUUCGGGAAACCGGAGCUAAUACCGGAUAAUAUAUUGAACCGCAUGGUUCAAUAGUGAAAGACGGUUUUGCUGUCACUUAUAGAUGGAUCCGCGCCGCAUUAGCUAGUUGGUAAGGUAACGGCUUACCAAGGCAACGAUGCGUAACCGACCUGAGAGGGGGAUCGGCCACACUGGAACUGAGACAGGGUCCAGACUCCUACGGGAGGCAGCAGUAGGGAAUCGUCCGCAAUGGGCGAAAGCCUGACGGAGCAACGCCGCGUGAGUGAUGAAGGUCUUCGGAUCGUAAAACUCUGUUAUGAGGGAAGAACAAAUGUGGAAGUAACUAUGCACGUCUUGACGGUACCGAAUCAGAAAGCCACGGCUAACUACGUG